AAUAACAAUACCAAGUAGAAGAUCCAAGUCGUGUGUACUACACACUUUCCUUAAAACUGAUUCGCUACCUCCCGAUGGUGCUAGAAGCGUUGUAGUAUCAGUCUCCCAAGAUAAAAUGGAUCA